UGGUUGCUCUAAGUAGGCAUGGAGAAUAAAUUAAUUGAAAUAACAGAGAGUUUUAGUAGGGAGUAGUGAACAAACUUAUAAGGUAAACCGAGAGGGAUGAAUGAAAGAGUAUUAAACCAUAAGAAAGAAGUUAUUUAAUGUACCUUUUGUAUCAGGGUUUAUCAAAUAAAUAAUAAAUAAGAUUUUCUCGAUUUGAAAGGAGCUAUUUUCUUAAAUCAGUUAAAGUAUCAAAUUUAUAUAAAAUAAGAAGAUAGAGAUGAAAUGUCAGCCGACUUUCAAGGUAUCUAGUUUUUCAAGAGGUGAAUUUAAUUCAGGUAAUAGAGGAUACCCACUUAGGGCAUGUCUAUUACUACAAUUUUAGGGGAUAAGCUCUAAAAUUACCCAUAAGUUCAAGAUUUAUUAAUAGAUAGGCUUAGAAGUAGCCAAUGAAAGAGUGUUAUAACUUAUUUAUGGGUAUAGAUAUUUUAUGUUCUUUGGGCCUCCAUUGAAAUAUCUUUAUUAACAAGGGAUAAAGAUAAAUAAUGAUUAAAUAAGUAUAUUAGUGAGGUCCUGUUAAGGAAUUCGGCAAAUUUGUGCUCGCCUGUUUAUCAAAAACAUCGCCUUUAGGGAGAAUUGAAGGUAUGACCUGCCCACUGAAGAAUUGAAGGGCCGCGGUAUUUUGACCGUGCAAAGGUAGCAUAAUCAUUAGUCUUGUAAUUGAAGACUAGUAUGAAGGGUGGAACGAGGUACAAGCUGUCUUCAUGGGAAUAUAGAAUUUCACUUUUUAGUGAAAAGGCUAAAAUAAUAUUAGAGGACGAGAAGACCCUAUAGAACUUUAUAAAUACCAAAUUUGUACUUUAGGGUAAGGGAGGUAUAUGAUUUGGGGUUUAUUCCGUUGGGGUGAUGAGGUAAUAUAGAAACUUACUUUAAUUAAACAUUUUACGUGAAUAAGUGAACCAUAAAUAAUGAUUAAAAGAUUAAGUUACCUUAGGGAUAACAGCAUAAUCCUUUUAGAGAGUUCAAAUCGAUAAAAGGGAUUGUGACCUCGAUGUUGGAUUAAGAUUUAUUUUAGGUGUAGCAGCUUAAACUGAAAGGUCUGUUCGACCUUUAAAAUCUUACAUGAUCUGAGUUCAGACCGGCGUGAGCCAGGUCGGUUUCUAUCCUUAAUUAGAAGAGGUGCUUUAGUACGAAAGGACCAAGCACUGGGGAUGAAGCCCUAAAGAAGAAUACCAGU
rnacentral:rRNA from 1 species